rnacentral:rRNA from 1 species
CAAACUUGGUCAUUUAGAGGAAGUAAAAGUCGYAACAAG